UACGAAGGGUGCAAGCGUUACUCGGAAUUACUGGGCGUAAAGCGUGCGUAGGUGGUUCGUUAAGUCUGCCGUGAAAGCCCCGGGCUCAACCUGGGAAUGGCGGUGGAUACUGGCGGACUAGAGUGCGGUAGAGGGUGGUGGAAUUCCCGGUGUAGCAGUGAAAUGCGUAGAGAUCGGGAGGAACAUCUGUGGCGAAGGCGGCCACCUGGACCAGCACUGACACUGAGGCACGAAAGCGUGGGGAGCAAACAGG
rnacentral:rRNA from 3 species